AACGAACGCUGGCGGCACGCCUAACACAUGCAAGUCGAACGAUCCCUUCGGGUAUAGUUGCGCACGGGUGCGUAACGCGUGGGAACCUUCCCUUAGGUUCGGAAUAACUUAGAGAAAUUUGAGCUAAUACCGGAUAAUUUCUUCGGACCAAAGAUUUUUCUCCUUUGGAUUGGCCCGCUUGGGAUUAGCUAUUUGGUGAGGUAAAGGCCUACCAAGGCGACGAUCCAUAGCUGGUCUGAGAGGAUGAUCAGCCACACUGGGACUGGGACACGGCCGAGACUCCUACGGGAGGAAGCAGUGGGGAAUAUUGGACAAUGGGCGAAAGCCUGAUCCAGCAAUGCCGCGUGAGUGAUGAAGGACUUAGGGUUGUAAAGCUCUUUUACCCGGGAUGAUAAUGACAGUACCGGGAGAAUAAGCCACGGCUAACUCCGUG
rnacentral:rRNA from 1 species